rnacentral:lncRNA from 1 species
AGAGUCUAAGUUGCUGAGACUGGCCUUGAACUUGAAAUCUUCCUGCCUCAGCCUCCAGAGUAGUUGGGAUUAUAAGCAUGCACCACCACACCUGGCUGAGGACCCUGCUUGUCACAGACCCAGUGAGAUGCAAGAAGAGAGCCCAGCCUGGCCAUGUCAUCAGACACCUGAUAACCCACGAGUCCCAGCCUCCUCAGGAGGUUCAGGAGUGGAUAGUUUUCCAGUAAAGGCUGGAAGGAACCCAGAUGAGCAAAUGCCUGGCCACUCUGAGGAGGGGCUUCAUUGACCUUGCUCACAUCUGGUAACUGCCUGGACGCCAGUGCUCCUUGCCCUGGGAUGGCCCCUGUGUGCCAUCCAAGCACAACUGCAUCUGCUUCCCUUAUCUCUGGGUCUUCAGCACCCAUGUCCCUCAGUACUCCCACCAGGCUCCCUGGGCUGGUGUCUGUACUUCAAUCAUCCUCUCUCAAACCACACCCUGCUUGUCUUGCUGGAUCUGAACACAGGUUCCCUUAUUUCCUUGAACCGUUCGUAGUUCAGGAUGCCAUAGACAGACUUCCCUGGAGUCCUUCGCCUUCCCCAGUAUCCUGUGCUCUGCUUCACGGGAAGGGUUUCUCCCCAAGUUGCCUGAGCCAGGACCUCCUUCCUUGUUUCCUGACCUCCUAGGUCACUAAGCUGUUCAGUCCUGAUCUGAAGAGGGGCAGGAAAGGGCUGGACAUUUGGUGCUUGACCAAGGGGAGAGGAGAGAGUUGGGGCAGGAGAAUGAGCAGCGAAUGCUACAGGAGGAGGUUUAGUAGGUCCCCGGGUACCAGAUGAUACAUAAGGGUUCAUGCUGGCCAUACUCAUAGAGAAUAGGAAAAUAGGAGCUCAGAAUUCUGGGUUGCCAACCAUGGGCAGGUGUUCUAACCACAAGAUUCCAAAAAAAGUGUGUUGCCAAAAAUUUGACCCUGUUGCCUGCAAGUAACAGGCAAGAGCCAGGCUGAUUCACAUUCAUAUACCCGCCUCCCAUGACUCAAGCACAGAGAUACUCGUGUAAACCACUCCUACACACCCAUUGCCCACUCCACACUCUAUCCACACACACAUGUGCACAUACAUGCCCAGGAUUACAGGAGACAGAGGGUUAUGUUUAGAGAACUAGAUGGAUUAACAAGAACUUAACUGUGCUGCCCAACAGUCCCAGCCUCCCUCUGCCCUCCCGGAGGUAGCCUCCCCUCCCCUCCAGCGCCAGAGCUCUCAGGUCAAUCUUUCACAGACACAUACUGUCAGGGAGAUUGGCAGUACUAGUAAUGGAGUCUUGGUCAACAUAUGCCUGAGUUAGGAGGCCCCAGCUCAUUCCUUCUAGAUAAGCAUCACAGGUUCCUUCCCUUAAUAUUGAAAUGGGAUCACAGACUCCUCCCAUCAGGAGGGUCAUCAACCCUGCUGACACCAGGUAACUGUCUGAGGGCUAAAUAUCCAGAGAUAAGGGAAGCAAAUUGAGUUAAGCUUGGGUGCCACCCAGGGGUCAUCAUGUGGUUCCCAGUUUGAGGCCCUCCCCAAAAGCCCUUUGCAGCUUCAUACCUCACCCAUAACUCAACACCUGAUUCAAGAAGGACUUUCUUUCUCCCAGCAAGUCCCCCUCUAAUGCCACUUUGCCACCUUCCCCAGCCUAACCCUGAAUGCCUAGAGCACUGUGAGAUAUCACUGCUGAGAAUGGCAGGGAUGCCACAGCGAUCCAUCUCAGGAGGGACAGAGACACCCUGGAGAAACC